AGAUUGAACGCUGGCGGCAUGCCUAACACAUGCAAGUCGAACGGCAGCGCGGGAGCUUGCUCCUGGCGGCGAGUGGCGGACGGGUGAGUAACGCGCAGGAAUCUGCCUGGUAGCGGGGGACAACUCGGGGAAACUCGAGCUAAUACCGCAUACGCCCUACGGGGGAAAGCGGGGGACCUUCGGGCCUCGCACUAUCAGAUGAGCCUGCGUCCGAUUAGCUUGUUGGUGAGGUAAUGGCUCACCAAGGCGACGAUCGGUAGCUGGUCUGAGAGGAUGAUCAGCCACACUGGGACUGAGACACGGCCCAGACUCCUACGGGAGGCAGCAGUGGGGAAUAUUGGACAAUGGGCGCAAGCCUGAUCCAGCAAUGCCGCGUGUGUGAAGAAGGCCUGCGGGUUGUAAAGCACUUUCAGUGGGGAAGAAAAGCCGCCGGCUAAUACCCGGCAGUCCUGACAUUACCCACAGAAGAAGCACCGGCUAACUCCGUGCCAGCAGCCGCGGU
rnacentral:rRNA from 1 species